rnacentral:rRNA from 1 species
GACGAACGCUGGCGGCGUGCCUAAUACAUGCAAGUAGAACGCUGAAGGAGGAGCUUGCUUCUCUGGAUGAGUUGCGAACGGGUGAGUAACGCGUAGGUAACCUGCCUGGUAGCGGGGGAUAACUAUUGGAAACGAUAGCUAAUACCGCAUAAGAGUAGAUGUUGCAUGACAUUUGCUUAAAAGGUGCAAUUGCAUCACUACCAGAUGGACCUGCGUUGUAUUAGCUAGUUGGUGGGGUAACGGCUCACCAAGGCGACGAUACAUAGCCGACCUGAGAGGGGGGUCGGCCACACUGGGACUGAGACCCGGCCCAGACUCCUACGGGAGGCAGCAGUAGGGAAUCUUCGGCAAUGGACGGAAGUCUGACCGAGCAACGCCGCGUGAGUGAAGAAGGGUUUCGGAUCGUAAAGCUCUGUUGUAAGAGAAGAACGAGUGUGAGAGUGGAAAGUUCACACUGCGACGGUAUCUGACCAGAAAGGGACGGCUAACUACGUG